rnacentral:rRNA from 1 species
AGCAGCCGCGGUAAUUCCAGCUCCAAUAGCGUAUAUUAAAGUUGUUGCAGUUAAAAAGCUCGUAGUUGAAUUUCGGGAUUAGUGCGCUGGUCAUGCCUUUGGUAUGUACUGGUGUUACUGGUUCCUACCUUCUGAAGAACCGUUAUGUCAUUCAUUUGGUGUGGCGGGGAAUCAGGACUGUUACUUUGAAAAAUUAGAGUGUUUAAAGCAGGCUCGCGCUUGAAUACAUUAGCAUGGAAUAAUGAAAUAGGACGUUUGACCCUAUUUUGUUGGUUUCUAGGAUCGACGUAAUGAUUAAUAGGGAUAGUUGGGGGCAUUAGUAUUCAAUUGUCAGAGGUGAAAUUCUUGGAUUUAUUGAAGACUAACUACUGCGAAAGCAUUUGCCAAGGAUGUUUUCAUUAAUCAAGAACGAAAGUUAGGGGAUCGAAGACGAUCAGAUACCGUCGUAGUCUUAACCAUAAACUAUGCCGACUAGGGAUCGGAUGAUGUUAUUUUAAUGACUCAUUCGGCGCCUUACGGG